rnacentral:rRNA from 1 species
AUGGCCAGCUUGUCAGCGUUGCAGUUCACGGUGAGGAGGAAGCCGGCGGUGUUGGUGCCACCGGCGGCCCCGAUCGACACCACGGGAGCUGAAGCGGCUCUCCGACAUCGACGACCAGGAGGGGCUCCGCUUCCAGCUUCCCCUCAUCCACUUCUUCCAGCGCCACGACAGCAGGGACGACGACCCUGCGCUUGUGAUACAGGGCGCCAUCGCGGGGGCGCUCGUGCACUACUACCCGUUCGCGCGGGGCGGCUGAGGGAGCUCGAGGGCCGCAAGCUCGCCGUCGACUGCACCGGCGAGGGCGUGCUGUUCGUCGAGGCUGACGCCGACAUCCGCCUAGACCAGUUUGACGCGGCCCUGGGGCCGCCCUUCCCGUGCCUCGAGGAGCUCCUCUUCGACGUCCCCGGCUCCUCCGGCAUCCUCGACUCCCCGCUCCUCCUUUUCCAGAGACUUUUAAAAAAAACCAGCUAG